rnacentral:rRNA from 1 species
AGUGAACGCUGGCGGUAGGCCUAACACAUGCAAGUCGAACGGCAGCACAGUAUGAGCUUGCUCUUGCGGGUGGAGACGGGCAGAAGGGAGAGGACAACUUCGGACACCACUUUUUAGUGGGUGAUAACGUAGGAAAACUUACUCUUAUACCGCACACAGCUUAUGAGUGAUAGCAGGGCUGCUUCGGAGCUUUCGCGCUCAUAUGCGCGGAUGUCGGAUUAGGUAGUUGGCGGGGUAAAGGGCCACCCAGGCGACGAUGCGUAGCUGGUCAGAGAGGAUGAUCAGCCACACUGGGACUGAGACACGGUCCAGACUCCUACGGGAGGCGGCAGUGGGGAAUAUUGGACAAUGGGCGCAAGCCUGAUCCAGCCAUACUGCGUGGGUGAUGAAGGCCUUCGGGUUGUAAAACCCUUUUGUUGGGAAAGAAAAGCAGCAGGUUAAUACCCCGCUGUUCUGACGGUACCAAAAGAAUAAGCACCGGCUAACUUCGUG